CCUACGGGGUGCAGCAGUGAGGAAUAUUGGUCAAUGGACGAGAGUCUGAACCAGCCAAGUAGCGUGAAGGAUGACUGCCCUAUGGGUUGUAAACUUCUUUUAUAUGGGAAUAAAACGUUCCACGUGUGGGAUUUUGUAUGUACCAUAUGAAUAAGGAUCGGCUAACUCCGUGCCAGCAGCCGCGGUAAUACGGAGGAUCCGAGCGUUAUCCGGAUUUAUUGGGUUUAAAGGGAGCGUAGGUGGAUUGUUAAGUCAGUUGUGAAAGUUUGCGGCUCAACCGUAAAAUUGCAGUUGAAACUGGCAGUCUUGAGUACAGUAGAGGUGGGCGGAAUUCGUGGUGUAGCGGUGAAAUGCUUAGAUAUCACGAAGAACUCCGAUUGCGAAGGCAGUUCACUGGACUGCAACUGACACUGAGGCUCGAAAGUGUGGGUAUCAAACAGGAUUAGAUACCCGAGUGUC
rnacentral:rRNA from 1 species